rnacentral:rRNA from 1 species
UUCGUAGGCGGUGCGGCAAGUCGGGAGUGAAAUCUCUGGGCUUAACUCAGAGGCUGCUUUCGAAACUGCCGUGCUCGAGUGCGGGAGAGGCCAGUGGAAUUGCAGGUGUAGCGGUGAAAUGCGUAGAUAUCUGCAGGAACACCCGUGGCGAAGGCGGCUGGCUGGACCGCAACUGACGCUGAGGAACGAAAGCUAGGGGAGCAAACAGGAUUAGAUACCCUGGUAGUCCUAGCCCUAAACCAUCAGGACUUGGGGUGGCCCGCGUAGGCGGGUCGUCCCGUAGCUAACGCGUUAAGUCCUGCGCCUGGGGAGUACGGUCGCAAGACUGAA